rnacentral:rRNA from 1 species
UGCAGUCGAACGAGUUCUGAUUAUUGAAAGGUGCUUGCAUCUUGAUUUAAUUUUGAACGAGUGGCGGACGGGUGAGUAACACGUGGGUAACCUGCCCUUAAGUGGGGGAUAACAUUUGGAAACAGAUGCUAAUACCGCAUAAAUCCAAGAACCGCAUGGUUCUUGGCUGAAAGAUGGCGUAAGCUAUCGCUUUUGGAUGGACCCGCGGCGUAUUAGCUAGUUGGUGAGGUAACGGCUCACCAAGGCAAUGAUACGUAGCCGAACUGAGAGGUUGAUCGGCCACAUUGGGACUGAGACACGGCCCAAACUCCUACGGGAGGCAGCAGUAGGGAAUCUUCCACAAUGGACGCAAGUCUGAUGGAGCAACGCCGCGUGAGUGAAGAAGGCUUUCGGGUCGUAAAACUCUGUUGUUGGAGAAGAAUGGUCGGCAGAGUAACUGUUGUCGGCGUGACGGUAUCCAACCAGAAAGCCACGGCUAACUACGUGCCAGCAGCCGCGGUAAUACGUAGGUGGCAAGCGUUAUCCGGAUUUAUUGGGCGUAAAGCGAGCGCAGGCGGUUUUUUAAGUCUGAUGUGAAAGCCCUCGGCUUAACCGAGGAAGUGCAUCGGAAACUGGGAAACUUGAGUGCAGAAGAGGACAGUGGAACUCCAUGUGUAGCGGUGAAAUGCGUAGAUAUAUGGAAGAACACCAGUGGCGAAGGCGGCUGUCUGGUCUGUAACUGACGCUGAGGCUCGAAAGCAUGGGUAGCGAACAGGAUUAGAUACCCUGGUAGUCCAUGCCGUAAACGAUGAAUGCUAGGUGUUGGAGGGUUUCCGCCCUUCAGUGCCGCAGCUAACGCAUUAAGCAUUCCGCCUGGGGAGUACGACCGCAAGGUUGAAACUCAAAGGAAUUGACGGGGGCCCGCACAAGCGGUGGAGCAUGUGGUUUAAUUCGAAGCAACGCGAAGAACCUUACCAGGUCUUGACAUCUUUUGAUCACCUGAGAGAUCAGGUUUCCCCUUCGGGGGCAAAAUGACAGGUGGUGCAUGGUUGUCGUCAGCUCGUGUCGUGAGAUGUUGGGUUAAGUCCCGCAACGAGCGCAACCCUUAUGACUAGUUGCCAGCAUUUAGUUGGGCACUCUAGUAAGACUGCCGGUGACAAACCGGAGGAAGGUGGGGAUGACGUCAAAUCAUCAUGCCCCUUAUGACCUGGGCUACACACGUGCUACAAUGGAUGGUACAACGAGUUGCGAGACCGCGAGGUCAAGCUAAUCUCUUAAAGCCAUUCUCAGUUCGGACUGUAGGCUGCAACUCGCCUACACGAAGUCGGAAUCGCUAGUAAUCGCGGAUCAGCACGCCGCGGUGAAUACGUUCCCGGGCCUUGUACACACCGCCCGUCACACCAUGAGAGUUUGUAACACCCGAAGCCGGUGGUCAGUAACCCUUUUAGGGAGCGAGCCGUCUA